rfam:Ciona savignyi cont_6542, whole genome shotgun sequence.
UAAACGGCUCUUUUUAGAGCCACCCAACUCUAAAAAGAGAAAUACCU